GACAGAGGUCUCAAGCGUUAGGCGGAAUCACUGGGCUUAAAGCGUGUGUAGGCGGAUUCCUAAGUACCUUGUGAAAUCCCCGGGCUUAACCCGGGAACUGCUUGGUAUACUGGGUGUCCUGAGCCAACUAGGGGCGACCGGAACAAACGGUGGAGCGGUGAAAUGCGUAGAUAUCGUCUGGAACGCCGAAGGUGAAAACAGCUCGCUGGGGCUGCGCUGACGCUGAGACACGAAAGCCAGGGGAGCGAACGGG
rnacentral:rRNA from 1 species